CGGACGGGUGAGUAACGCGUGGAUAACCUGCCUCACACUGGGGAUAACAGUUAGAAAUGACUGCUAAUACCGCAUAAGCGCACAGUACCGCAUGGUACGGUGUGAAAAACUCCGGUGGUGUGAGAUGGAUCCGCGUCUGAUUAGCCAGUUGGCGGGGUAACGGCCCACCAAAGCGACGAUCAGUAGCCGACCUGAGAGGGUGACCGGCCACAUUGGGACUGAGACACGGCCCAA
rnacentral:rRNA from 1 species